CUGCUCUCAAUUCAACAGCACAUACAUUAAAAUAGGAAUGAUACAGAGGAUUAGAAUGGGCCAGGUGCAAAAAUGACCCACAAACUCAUGAAAUACCCCAUAUUUCA